GUUCUUGUAGUUGAAGUACAACAAUAGUUUUUCAGGCUAUUAGUCCGGGUUAAAAUCCUGGUAGGAAUA
rnacentral:tRNA from 1 species